rnacentral:rRNA from 1 species
AGAAGGAUACAAGAGCGAACGGUGGAUGCCUAGGCUUCUGGAGGCGACGAAGGACGCGGUAAGCUGCGAAAAUCUCCGGGAAACAGCAAACAUGUAAUGAUCCGGAGGUGUCCGAAUGGGGCAACCCGGCUGGCUGAAGGCCAGUCACCGCAGAUAUGCGGGGCGAACGCGGGGAACUGAAACAUCUCAGUACCCGCAGGAAGAGAAAGAAAUUAUCGAUUCCCUGAGUAGUGGCGAUCGAAAGGGGAAGAGCCCAAACCGGCUGCGUUACGGCGCGGUCGGGGUUGUAGGGCCGCCAACAAGAGUUCAUGACGUGAACUGGAACCGUCUGGAAAGUCGGUCCGCAGAGGGUGACAGACCCGUACAGGCAAGCGUCAUGCGCCGGAGGCGGUACCUGAGUAGGGCGGGACACGUGCAAUCCUGUCCGAAUCCGCGGGGACCAUCCCGCAAGGCUAAAUACUCCCGGAAGACCGAUAGUGAACCAGUACCGUGAGGGAAAGGUGGGAAGUACCCCGAGCAGGGGAGUGAAAUAGACCCUGAAACCGUUCGUUUACAAGCGGUCGGAGCUCUUAUAUGGAGCGACGGCGUGCCUUUUGCAUAAUGAGCCUACGAGUUGCCUCCGUCCGGCGAGGUUAAGCGCUUAAGGCGCGUGAGCCGAAGCGAGAGCGAGUCUGAACAGGGCGUUCAGUCGGUCGGAGCAGACGCGAAACCUAGUGAUCUACCCAUGGCCAGGGUGAAGUCGCCGUAACAGGCGAUGGAGGCCCGAACCGGUUUACGUUGAAAAGUGCUCGGAUGAGCUGUGGGUAGGGGUGAAAGGCUAAUCAAACUGGGAGAUAGCUCGUACUCCCCGAAAUGUCUUUAGGGACAGCCUCGUCUUAGCUUCACGGAGGUAGAGCUACUGAUAGGAUGCGAGGGCUUCAUCGCCUAUCAAUUCCUGACAAACUCCGAAUGCCGUGAAGUGUUGGACGGGAGUGAGUCGUCGGGUGCUAAUGUCCGGCGGCGAGAGGGAAAGAGCCCAGACCUCCUGCUAAGGCCCCCAAGAGCGGUUUAAGUUGACAGAACGAGGUGACAUCGCAGAGACAGCUAGGAUGUUAGCUUGGAAGCAGCUAUUCAUUUAAAGAGUGCGUAACAGCUCACUAGUCGAGCGAUGACGCGUGGAUGAUGAACGGGCAUCAAGACCGCCGCCGAAGCAGAGGACUCUUUUUAAGAGUGGUAGGGGAGCAUUCCGGUCGGCGCCGAAGGUGUGGCGUGAGCCAUGCUGGAGCGUCCGGAAAAGAAAAUGUAGGCAUGAGUAACGACAACGCAUGUAUGACCAUGCGCACCGCAAGCCCCAGGUUUCCUGGACAACGCCAGACGUACCAGGGUUAGUCGGGAGCUAAGGUUAACCCGAGAGGGGAUACCGAUGACGAUGCGGUUAAUAUUCCGCAACCCGCCGUGCAGGCGAGGACAUGACCGAGGAGUGGCACUGCCGCCCCCUGACGGAAUAGGGGGUUUAAGGACGUAGGGUGACUGAAAUCCGAAAGUACGGAAAUCCUUCGGGAGAUCCGACAGCGCAGGUAAUCAUACUCGCAAGAAAAGUGUCCGAGCGUCAAGCGCACGGGGGCCCGUACCGUAAACCGACACAGGUGGGCGAGGAGAGUAUCCUAAGGUGCUCGAGUGAAUCACGGCUAAGGAACUAGGCAAAUUGACCCCGUAACUUCGGGAUAAGGGGACCCCGCGAGGGGCGCAGAGAAAUGGCCCAGGCGACUGUUUACCAAAAACACAUGGCUAUGCGAAAUCGUAAGAUGACGAAUAUGGCCUGACACCUGCCCGGUGCCGGAAGGUUAAGAGGGGGAGUCAUCGCAAGAGAAGCUCUGAAUUGAAGCCCCGGUAAACGGCGGCCGUAACUAUAACGGUCCUAAGGUAGCGAAAUUCCUUGUCGGGUAAGUUCCGACCUGCACGAAUGGUGUAACGAUCUGGGCACUGUCUCAGCCGUGAGCUCGGUGAAAUUGUAGUGGCGGUGAAGAUGCCGCCUACCCGCAACGGGACGAAAAGACCCCGUGAACCUUUACUAUAGCUUAGCGCUGACUUUGGGUGUCAGAUGUGUAGGAUAGGUGGGAGACUGCGAUGCAUGUACGCCAGUAUGUGCGGAGUCGCCGUUGAAAUACCACCCUUCUGACAUCCGGGGUCUAACUACAGAUUGUAGGACACCGCUUGGUGGGUAGUUUGACUGGGGUGGUCGCCUCCAAAAGCGUAACGGAGGCUUCCCAAGGUCCGCUCAGCACGAAUGGUAACCGUGCGUAGAGUGCAUUGGCAAAAGCGGGCUUGACUGGGAGACAUACAAGUCGAUCAGGUGCGAAAGCAGGGCAAAGUGAUCCGGUGGUUCUGUAUGGUAGGGCCAUCGCUCAAAGGAUAAAAGGUACUCCGGGGAUAACAGGCUGAUCGCUCCCAAGAGCUCAAAUCGACGGAGCGGUUUGGCACCUCGAUGUCGGCUCGUCACAUCCUGGGGCUGGAGAAGGUCCCAAGGGUUCGGCUGUUCGCCGAUUAAAGUGGCACGCGAGCUGGGUUCAGAACGUCGUGAGACAGUUCGGUCUCUAUCUGUUGUGGGCGUAUGAAGUCUGCGGAGGUCUGACCUUAGUACGAGAGGACCGGGUUGGACGAACCUCUGGUUUACCGGUUGUGGCGCCAGCUGCACCGCCGGGUAUCCACGUUCGGUCAGGAUAAGCGCUGAAAGCAUCUAAGCGCGAAGCCGUCUCCAAGAUGAGACUUCUUUCGAGGGCCGUGGGAGACUACCACGUCGAUAGGCGGGAGGUGUAAAGGCAGCAAUGCCAAAGCCGACCCGUACUAAUAGCCCGACUCCUUCCUCCG